ACAUGCCUACAACAUAGGGUUAAUGCACCAGAUCCCAUUAGAACUCUGUAGUUAAGCGCGCUUAGACUAGAUUAAUAUUGGGAUGGGUGACCGCCUGAGAAGUCCUAGUGUUUUACAUGCC
rfam:Picea glauca, whole genome shotgun sequence.